rnacentral:tRNA from 1 species
CGCAGGGUAGAGCAGGCUGGUAGCUCGUGGGGCUCAUAACCCCAAGGUCGCAGGUUCGAAUCCUGCCCCUGCAA